UGGGGUAUAGCUCGGUGGUAGAGCAUUUGCCUAGCAUGCACAAGAGCUGGGUUCAAUCCCCAGCACCACAA
rnacentral:tRNA from 1 species